rfam:Glycine max cultivar Williams 82 chromosome 18, whole genome shotgun sequence.
AAGAUUGUGAUGAAGCAAAGUAUAUAAUCCAACACUUGAUCUGAGAUAUUCGAGUGAUGUAAACCUUCUUUUUUGCUUCUGAAUCUAC